CGCCGCUAGGCACCUCCUCAGCGUCCUCAGCCUCCUGCUCAAUGGGACCUCCUCUGCUCGGCUGCAGGACCCAUUGAGGGCGGGGACUCCCUAGGGUGCCCGCGGGGAUUUUUCCUGGAGGGGCUCCUUCUCUCAUCUGGAUCACUGCAGGAGCAGAAAAGGACUCCAUCUUACGGAGUGAAGGUAUUACCUUUAUUCAAAUAUUAUAUUCUGGUAUGUUUUGAACAGUACUGUUUCGGAUUCUGUUCUGGGACCGGUCCAUCUGUAAAGCUGUCUGUAAGGCGUAAGAUCAUUGUAUGCUUAUGCAGGAUGGCAUAUGCUGGGUAGCUAGCAUCCCAGGUAUACAUCUGAUUCUGUUAUGGUACUCGUUCUGAUAUUAAGGUAAUAUUAGAAUUCUGGUUCUGUUUUGGUCGGGAGACUAAAAAAAAAAAAGUUUGAUAAUUUGAAGUCAGUUUGUGUAUACAGGAUUAAUAAUUUUAGGGUUACUAAUAAUAAUGGUUAUACUCAUUUUAGGCUGGAAAUGUGAGAACCUUUCUGUAUUAGGUAUACUAUGAAUGUUGAUAUGUGGUUAUUGUCUUGAACAUCCGAGGGGUGAGUGUAAACCUCUAUAUGUUUUAAAGUGCAUAUACUGUAAAGAAUUAUUGAGUAUAUGGUGGGGGUUGCUGCUUAGGGACAAAAUUCUUCUCUGAGCAGUUGCUCUGUGCUGUUUUGGCAUCAAUAUGGCAAGCCAGCCAGAAAAACUCUCCACCAGCGCUGGAAUCCAGGGGCCUGGGGACCCUCAGGGCCCCCGACUGCAUCUUCUGUAGGCAAGACUCCCCUACCCCUCGGCUUCUCACACAGGUGGACAAGGACUUCUGCACAAAAUAAAAGGUAUUUAUAUUUAUUCUUUGUUUUGAAUAUUUGAUUGUCUUAAGAUCUGGGAAGCUAAAAACUUCCUUUAGGUUGUCUUAAGUUUUGGGGAAUUCCUAGAAUGUAACAACUGAAAUAGCACUCUGCGUCUUGUUUGUUCUAUGUGUUGUCUUGUUACAUGUUCAAAAUUGGAGUUGAAAAAUAAUAUUCUGGUAAUUCUAGGCAAAUAGCUGAAAACUUAACACUCUGCUUAAGGCCAGAAAAAGAAAAAAUCUGGUUUUUGGCAAUUGUUCAUUGAAAUACAUACUUUGUGUGGUAACGUGAACUGUCAGUGUUCCUAGAGUUGUAUGUAAAUACACGGUACCUUAUCAAUUUAUGAAGUGUUGGAAUGCAUAAUUAGAAAUUAGAGCGGGAGAUUGUGGACAAAACAUUAGAACUAACAUCAUUUGGAAAAAGCAUGAAUUAACCUCUGGUCCUUAGUGUUGUAAGUGCUGUCUGUAUACUCGAAAAAAGGGUGGCAAGUGUCUAAAUAUAUUAUGUCCUCGCAAAAAAUAAUAAUAAUAGGAAAAAACUGAGACCUAAACUAGAAAGAUGUUCUUGUUGAAAUUUUUGUGUAAAAAAGAAAAAAGAGAGCUCAGGUUGUGGUUCCCUCUUUGGAGCAACCAGAAUGAAACACGUUGUAAGAUAAAAACUUGUACUAAUGUAUGUAAACUCUGAAGCGGGGAGGGGGGUGGGGGGUGGGGGGGUGGAGAAUCAAAGACCCUGUGAAAGUGUUAAAGUCUUGGGGUGAGUUUGUACAAACCCCCGUACCCCCUCGAAGGUGCGGCUGAGUCCUGCUGGACGCAUGGCAGGGUGUUUGCUGUUUGCCUGCAAAGGCUGAUAUGUAAGAACACAGACUUAAAGCAACAAGGAGCAGAUUUGCAUUCAGGGUAAGAAACAGUUAAAACAGAAGUGCUGCUGCAGAGGCAGGCUUGUGUAACCUGCAGAGCAGGAAGAGCAUCUCCUGCCCCGAAUCCUUCUGCUGGUGAGGAGGAGGGGGUUGCUGUUGCUGACGAUUGAGCAGAAGGACCUGAUAAUGUCACCAUCUAAUGGGACUAGAUAAAGGUUCGAGUUGAUUGUUACUAGAUAAUCGUGAUGUAGAAAAGUUGAUAGAAGGAAUAGGGAAGGUGUACAGAAGGUAAAAGAAGAGCUGGGUCGUGCUAAACUGGUAGAGGAGAAGAGGCAGAGACAGAGGAGGAAUGUCAGGCAGAAGUGAAAGAGUGAAUCCCUUUCCUAUGGGAUCAGAUCACUGUGCAUAUUGUAGGGAAAGUGGGCACUGGAAGCGAGAUUGCCCUAAGCUAAAGAACCAGCAAGGGGUUCUGGUGAACUAGGGACUAGGAAAAAUGAGGUGGAAUUUUUAGUGAAUACAAAACCAACUUAUUGGUGUUAAACUUCAGUGAAAAGAAUUUGUUGUGGGAGCUGCUGGCCACCAGGAAAACAUCCUGAAACCUUUAAAGUACAAACUAAGAAAACAAUAAGAAUGCCAAAUUCACCAAAAUAAUCAAUUAACUGAAAUCUUGAGCUUAUCUUUAAUUCAACAGAAAAGUGGAAAAGAGGAUCUCCCUGAAGUAAAAGAAAUCUUUAACCAGGUAUAUCUGCGAAUAAAUUCCAGGUAAGGUGAAAAAUGCUUUACCUGUUACAGUAAAAAUGAUAAGCAGGAGGCCUGCCUAACUCAGGUAAAACAAUAUCCCUUGGUCAACAGGGCUGUGGGGGAUAUUGGCGUAAAAACUAAAAUAAAAUACACUCUGUAGUAGUUCUACUAAUGUGAAUCUGUGUGUUUUGCCAUGACAGUGACUUGUUAUGGGAUGUGCAGAUGAAACUCUACAUUGACAACGAAGUACAAGGAAUAAGGUUGGUCAAGUAGCUCCUACCAUAGUCAAGGGCAAGACUGGGUUGGCCUGUGUUUGCCACCAAGAAGAAUCUUGAGCUCCGCUGUUGGCUGCAACCCCGUAGGUGCUGAGCAGUGGGAACAUAUGCCAUGCAAGACCUUGAUGUGAGGAAUGACCCCCUCUGUUAUAAGAGGGUCUUCCAGGAAGGAAGAACAUAAGAUGGCCCAUUGAGGCACUGAUUUGGAAAUUGGAAACCACCUGGCCGACCAUGAGGCCAGAAGAAUAGCAGAGGAGUUGGGAAAGGAGGAAUUAUUCUUAAUACCAGACAGUAAAAUCCAAACUGUAAGUACAGAUCAGGAGCCAAACUAUUCUAAAGAUCUAAAGCUAAUUCAGGACAUGAAUGGUAAAAUAGAAUUAAAUAAGUGGACCUAUUUGGCAGAUGGUCGUAUAGUGGUACCAUCCAAUUUAAUAUGGACCACAGCCUUAACAGAACAUAAUAAGACUCAUUGGGGAGCUGAUACAUUAUAUAAAAGUUUGAAUCAGAAAUUGAUGGGGCAAAACUUAUAUACUGUAAUAAAACAGGUAACUGAGCAAUGCAAAGUGUGUUUACGUAAUAAUCCCAAUGUAGCAAAUAGAAUAAAACUAGGGAACAUUAGUAGAGGAAAUUAUCCAGGGCAACAGUGGCCAGUUGAUUUUCCCGAACUCCGAAGAAAAGGGGGGGGGGUUACCGAUAUUUAUUAGUUAUGACUGAUACGUUUUCAGGUUGGCCAGAAACUUUCCCUUGUCGAACAAAUAAAGCAAGAGAGGUACGAAGGGACUAUUAAAUUAAAUUAUCCCCGGCUUUGGGGUUCUGGCAACAAUCUCUUCUGAUAGAGGCUCACACUUCUGUGCCAAAGUAAUACAAGUAAACACAGUAUUAGGAAUAGAUUGGCAAUUACACACUCCUUAUAGGCCUCAAACAAGUGGGCAAGUGGAAAAAUGAACCAUUUACAGCUAGCGAAAAUAGGACAAGGGACAAAUCUAACUUGGCCACAAUUUCUUCCCUUGGUAUUAUUAAGAAUACGAACUAAACCGAGAACAAAGGAGAAUUUAAGCCCUUUUGAAAUAUUAUAUGGGAGACCGUACCAGUUACAAUUUGCUGGAGAAGAUUUAAAGCAGUUAGGGGAGGGAUAUUUAUGUGAAUAUGUGAAGACCCUCCAGGGACAAUGAAAAGUUUUAAAUAAACAAGUAUUGGGAACAAGGGCCAGAGGGUUGGAUCAACCAGUCCUUUCCUUUAAAUCUGGUGACUAUGUGUAUAUAAAGACUUUUUCAGGGAAACCUUUGGAAGAAAAGUGGGAAGGACCCUGUCAGGUGCUGCUGACGACCUUCACCACCGUCAAGAUAAGAGAACAACCAACCUGGAUUCACUACUCUUAGAUAAAGAAGGCUCCUGAGAAAUCAUGGGCCAUCACCCCAGCAGGACCCAUGAAACUACAGUUCUUUAGAUCGUAAAGAAAUCUCCGGAGACACAAUGGACUGUCAAAAAGGAUCAGCGACAUUUGUGUAAAGUUAUUCUGAUUUUACUUGUAACUGUUGUAAGGAUAUUAGAAACUGAAACAUGAGUACACAAUACCUAUCUUCAAACAUCGCAAAUAAUUGUUAAUGCUACGAAAGCUAAGGAAUGCUGGAUAUGUACCUCUCUUAAAGGAGGCUUGAUAACACCCCUGUAUGGGGUGGCCUCUCAAAACUGGAAUUAUCUCGAUGACAAAUGGCCUACCUGGCCAGACUUUUGGAAAAAGCCAAACGAUGGUGGAGGAUAUUGCCUGUUUGAUAAUAAAACAUAUGAGUUGGGUCCCAGAUUUGAUUUACAAAUAUUAAACCUAACCACCACAGUAGUUACGAAAAGUGAUAAUAAUUGACAUUGGAAAGCUCAAACAAGACAGGAGGAGCAAGUCCUGGAAACCCAGGGCAAAAUACUUGUUCCCAAUCUGAUGGAUGGAAUGAUUAAACAGACAUCCGUAAGAUAUGGAACACGGUGCAGAUCCUGCAUGAAAUUACUAAAGACGAUUUGUCAUGGAGUUCCAUGAAGCUAUAUGGAACAAACUGACUUCGUGGUUACCUAAUUUAGAAUGGUUAAAACAUGCUUUUAUUUUAAAUUAUGUUUAUCUAAAAGUUGGGAAACGACCAAGGACCCAUAUUGUCAACAUGAUGGAUGUACAGAUUGUUACGUCCUUGGGCUGGUUAUCUUUAGAAGGGACAUUUGGUCUUAGAUUCCUGUUGUACAUGCAACGUGGCGAAGAUGAAGACUAAACGUGGCGGCUAAGGAAUAGAGUCUGCGCAGAGACAGCUCCUCAAGGACAUUGCGCAGGCACGUGAUAUGUAAAUGAAUUCUCAGAAUUGUAAUGAGUAUGUAAACGAUUUCCUGGAAAACUAAUGAAUAGGUAUGAGUAGCUUGUAUAAAGGGGGGACUGAAAAGUCCCGUCGGUGUACAUGACUUUGGUGGAGUGAUCCCCCAUGCACCCAGCGCUGCCUGAUAAAGAUAACCUCCGCUCG